UACGUAGGGUGCGAGCGUUAUCCGGAAUUAUUGGGCGUAAAGGGUGCGUAGAUGGCAAUGUAAGUCAUUUGUGAAAGUUCUGGGCUCAACCCAGUGAUGCAAAUGAUACUGCAUAGCUAGAGUAUGGAAGAGGCAAGUGGAACUCCAUGUGUAGCGGUAAAAUGCGUAAAUAUAUGGAAGAACACCAGUGGCGAAGGCGGCUUGCUAGUCCGAUACUGACAUUGAGGCACGAAAGCGUGGGGAGCAAACA
rnacentral:rRNA from 1 species